rnacentral:rRNA from 1 species
CCUACGGGGGGCAGCAGUGAGGAAUAUUGGUCAAUGGGAGAGAUCCUGAACCAGCCAAGCCGCGUGAGGGAAGACGGCCCUAUGGGUUGUAAACCUCUUUUGUCGGAGAACAAAACCCGGGACGUGUCCCGGACUGCGUGUAUCCGAAGAAAAAGCAUCGGCUAACUCCGUGCCAGCAGCCGCGGUAAUAGGGAGGAUGCGAGCGUUAUCCGGAGUUAUUGGGUGUAAAGGGUGCGUAGGCGGUCCGUUAAGUCAGCGGUAAAAUUGCGGGGCUCAACCCCGUCGGGCCGUUGAAACUGGGAGACUUGAGUUGGCGAGAGGUACGCGGAAUGCGCGGUGUAGCGGUGAAAUGCAUAGAUAUCGCGCAGAACUCCGAUUGCGAAGGCAGCGUACCGGCGCCAGACUGACGCUGAGGCACGAAAGCGUGGGGAGCGAACAGGAUUAGAUACCCGAGUAGUC